GUAAGUUUCCUGAAGGGGAGGGUGGAUGCACGCGCGCGGCCCCGCGCUGCAAAUUUCCACCGGGGAGGGAGAGUGGCUGGAUGCAGAGAGUUUGGAGUUGCUUGCGGCGGAGGGCAGGAAGGGGAGCAGGGCCGGGAAAGGGGGCUGGCGGGCGCUAUAUCUGGGAGUAAGUUUCCAGGAUCGGGAGAGCCUGCACGCUUGCUCGCUAGCGAAGACUGGUCUUCUUGUCGGAUUGCCUAUGCACUUGUUGCAGAAACAGCCAAGGCCCUGGCUCUGGAGGAUGCUGAAAGAGGAAGACACAGAAGCAGGACGACCCUGAGAGAUUAAGCCUCUUAAUCGUGAAACAGGUAGCUUCUCUGACAUUCUGGGUGUUUGAAUGCUCAUUUCUUUGAUCCUUGUGGUGUGGAAAAUGCCCCACAGAUUGGAGGUCACCUGCACUGGGCCUGGACACCCACAGGCGUGUGUGCAUUCCAGGCAGAUUCUUUACCUUCUGCGCCACUAGGGAAGCCCCCUCAGGGGUGGAUAUCCAGGUGCAAAUGGAAAAUACCCGAUUGACCAAGAGAUGCGCUCUUAAUAUAUUCUCACUUGGAAUAUAUUAAAAGGGAUGUUUCUACUUUAGAACCCAAAUAGGGCUUUUCGUUGAUUUGAGUGAGUGAAACUUUGCAUUAUUAGGUCAGCUACAUGGAACCGAUCAUUGGCUCUGGGGGCUGGAAGGAGCCCAGAAACCCUCCAGUCAAACUUUACCCGUUCUAGAAUUGAAAAGACACAGGGAGAUCAAGUGACUUGCUCACGGCCACUCAUUAGUUCAUGAAAGUGUUUCUUGAAAGUCCGUUGUAUUUUUUCAAGAAAAAAAAACACAAAACCACUGGAAACAGGGCAAAGCAAAAUAUGAGCAAGUGCUAGGAAAAAGCUGUGGAUGACUGCUUAUUUCCCAUUUCUCAGUUUGGAUUCUUUGGGGUUGUGAAUGUCAUAAAACGGAACUCAAAGGGGCUCCCACAGCACAGGGAAUUAAAUGAAGUGACUUGUACCAGCAAAAUGCAGAGAUGGGAUGGACUAUAGGGUACAUGUGUGGUAGCAGCUCAACUUGUCAUCAGCAGUCCAGUUUCUUCCCUUCUCUCAGCUGCUUUUCCAUGGUGUCAGUGCAUCCUAGGCCUUGCUUUUCUCCUGGAGGCAAAAUGGCCACAGAAGUUUCUGAGCUUAUUGUUGCAUACCUCUCCAGCCAGAAGGAAAGAAGCAUCCUUUCCAGUAACUCUUUGAAAGACUGAGAAACUAUCUUUUCCAGAAGUCCCUCCCCA
ensembl:lncRNA